rnacentral:lncRNA from 1 species
AUGUUCUCAUUUAUUCUUCUAGCAAGUGAGAUUGGUGUAGGGCCCUUCACCCAUAUCCGAGACCGCGGAGCAGCAGGAGACAUGACAUCAGUGACCAGUGAAUCUACUGCAGGUGCCAUGGGAGGUGAUGCUGGUGUGGUGCCAGUCACACAUGCUCAAGGCCAUGAAGGACCAGGAAGCACAGGAGCUACUGAUGAGGAGCCCCCUGACCCCUGUGUCUACUGUUAUUCCCACAGCAGGGAGCUUCAACUCGAAGACCUUCACCCUCAACUUCACCAUCACCAACAUGUUUUACAAAACCAAGAUGGGUCAAAGGGGUUCCAGCACAUUCCAUGUUGCUGAAUUUGUCCUGCAGCACCUGUUCAAGGUAUUUUUUGAAAGAAGCAGCCUUGGCUCUCAGUAUUCUGGAUGCAGUGUGACCUUGCUGAGGUGAGAAUCUUGAAAGCCAUCAGCUCAAAUAGCAGGGACAAUAACAUUCCCAUUUGACAAUGAUCACACACAGGCUGCUUCUUCUUCCCAAUAACAAUUCCUUCUUUUCCAAGCUGUAAAGGAUUAACCGCACUCCUCCCCCCAACCAACAAGCCAUUAGAAAUAUUGUGGGCACCUUCUACCCUUUCCCUGGUGGAGAAAAACUUCUUUUCCCAUAAGUCUUCCAAAGACAAGGUUGUAAAUUUAAUCGCUUUAACUUUAUAACUCCACGUGAAAGAGAUAACAGAGAAGGCACCAACAGAGUGCUUAGAAAAUAAUUGAUUAGACCAUAUCAAUAUUCACUGUCUCUAGAAUCAUAGGCUUAUAGAAUGGAAGCUUAAAGAGAUAGUAAGGCCAUAAGGACCACUCUCUUCAUUUACAGAUGAAAUAACAAAGACCCAAGGAGAUUCCAGUGACUUUUCCAAGAUCAUAGAUACUGUCAGAUCCAGAAUUUGAACACACAGUCCCUUUGAUUUUAAAUCCAGUGGUCUUUCUACUACUCUAAAGAAACUACUGAAAAUAAUAUGAUCCCAUACACACUUGUAAACAUAGAUGUGAGUGAAUUUACACAGCACAGCCAAUUUCAUUGCAGCAGAUCAGAGUGCUGAGCUUGCAAUCAGGAAGACCUUAGUUCAAAUUCUCUCUGAGACUCUUAGCAGCUGUGUGACCCUCAGCAAGUCACAUAACUUGUCUUAGUCUCAAUUUCUUCAUCUUUAAAAUGAGAAGGUUGGUUUUGAUGUCUUCCAGUGUCCUUUUCAACUCUCAAACUACAAUUCUCUCCCAACCAUUGUUCAAAGUGGGUCACUUCUUUCAAGAGUGUUUUCUGAAUAACUAAAUUUCAUUAAUCAAACAACUGGUGUCAAACUGAAAAGGAAACAGAG